GCAAAGGGGACAGAGUGGGCAUUGGGGGUCAGACAGCUGGAAUCCUAGCACCACCACCUACCAACUGUGUGAGCCUGGGCAAGGCCCUUCGAAAGCAGUGUCUUCAUCAGCAGAGGGGACCUGAUGAGGAUGCCUGUUCCUUUGGAAGGGAGUGUGAAGCUGGGAUUCAUGUUCCUGAAUACCAGAGAUCUGAGAGCCUGGGGGCUUCUCAUCCUGGCAGAGAGGAUACACACACCAGAGCACUUGGGCUGCCUUGGAAUUUGAGCAGACUAGCGAAGAAUGGAGCCCUCAAGACCAGGCAAGCUGCUUCCAUUCAGAUGAGUCAGCAGU
rnacentral:lncRNA from 1 species